GUACCUACGGGAGGCAGCAGUGAGGAAUAUUGGUCAAUGGUCGGGAGACUGAACCAGCCAAGCCGCGUGAGGGAUGAAGGUACAGAGUAUCGUAAACCUCUUUUGUCAGGGAACAAAGGCGGGGACGCGUCCCCGGAUGAGUGUACCUGAAGAAAAAGCAUCGGCUAACUCCGUGCCAGCAGCCGCGGUAAUACGGAGGAUGCGAGCGUUAUCCGGAUUUAUUGGGUUUAAAGGGUGCGCAGGCGGGCUGUUAAGCCGGCGGGAAAAAUUCAGGGGUCAAACCUG
rnacentral:rRNA from 1 species